rnacentral:misc_RNA from 1 species
UAAAUAAACAAUCGAUGUGUUGCUUUGUGACAUUUCGGAGUUGGGUCAUCUUAAUGUUCACUUUAAGGGACCUAAAAUUGAUGUUCUCGUGCAUCUCGACAUGUAUAAUUUUCUUUUUAUCUUGUCACCGGAUGCCAGGUAUUAUUAGGUGUGGCUAUGUUAGGUGGUUUCAUACCUAUAGGAAUCUUUGAUU